GUCCUACGGGAGGCAGCAGUGGGGAAUAUUGCACAAUGGGGGGAACCCUGAUGCAGCGACGCCGCGUGAAGGAAGAAGUAUUUCGGUAUGUAAACUUCUAUCAGCAGGGAAGAAAAUGACGGUACCUGACUAAGAAGCCCCGGCUAACUACGUGCCAGCAGCCGCGGUAAUACGUAGGGGGCAAGCGUUAUCCGGAUUUACUGGGUGUAAAGGGAGCGUAGGCGGCGAUGCAAGUCAGAAGUGAAAGGUCGGGGCCCAACCCCGGGACUGCAUUGGAAACUGUUGAACUGGAGUACAGGAGAGGG
rnacentral:rRNA from 1 species